GAAAUGCGAUAAGUAAUGUGAAUUGCAGAAUUCAGUGAAUCAUCGAAUCUUUGAACGCACCUUGCGCUCCUUGGUAUUCCUUGGAGCAUGCCUGUUUGAGUAUCAUGAAAUCUUCAAAGUAAAUCUUUUGUUAACUCAAUUGGUUUCUACUUUGGUAUUGGAGGUCUUUGCAGCUUCACACCUGCUCCUCUUUGUUCAUUAGCUGGAUCUCAGUGUUAUGCUUGGUUCCACUCGGCGUGAUAAGUUAUCUAUCGCUGAGGACACUGUAAAAGGUGGCCAAGGUAAAUGCAGAUGAACCGCUUCUAAUAGUCCAUUGACUUGGACAAUACUUUUAUGAUCUGAUCUCAAAUCAGGUAGUACUACCCGCUGAAUUUAAGC
rnacentral:misc_RNA from 1 species